UACGUAGGGGGCAAGCGUUGUCCGGAUUUAUUGGGCGUAAAGAGCGUGUAGGCGGCCGGAUAGGUCCGUUGUGAAAACUCGAGGCUCAACCUCGAGACGCCGAUGGAAACCAUCUGGCUAGAGUCCGGAAGAGGAGAGUGGAAUUCCCGGUGUAGCGGUGAAAUGCGCAGAUAUCGGGAAGAACACCCGUGGCUAAGGCGGCUCUCUAGUACGGUACUGACGCUGAGACGCGAAAGCGUGGGGAGCGAACAGG
rnacentral:rRNA from 1 species